rnacentral:rRNA from 1 species
AUGACCUCAAAUAUAGGAGCAGAGCACCUACCGUCGAGAAUUAUGGGCGAAAAUACAAUCAAAUCUGGAAGAGAUCUCCUCAUGAAUCAGGUUAAGAAGCGCUUUAAGCCUGAACUUAUCAAUAGACUAAAUAAGGUUGUGAUAUUCGAGCCACUUUCACACGAUGAAUUGAGGAAGAUUGUGAAAAUCCAGAUAAAUAAUGUCAUUUCGACAGUAGCUUCCAAGGGUGUCGCUGUACAUGCAACUGAUGCGGCCCUAGACGUCAUCCUGUCAGAAUCACAUGACCCGGUGGACGGCGCAAGGCCCAUUAGAAGGUGGGUGCAGAAUCACGUGACCACGAUUCUCUCGGACAUGCUGGUCGACGGAGAAGCCUGUGCUGGCUCGACAAUCUCCAUCGAUGCUGCCGCUGACGAUAAGAGGGGGCUAACGUUCCAAGUGCUGAAGAAGCAGCAGGAGUUGGCAGAUCAAUGA